ACGAACGCUGGCGGCAGGCCUAACACAUGCAAGUCGAGCGAGGACUUCGGUCCUAGCGGCGGACGGGUGAGAAACGCGUGGGAACGUGCCCUUUGCUUCGGAAUAGCCCUGGGAAACUGGGAGUAAUACCGGAUGAGCCCUUUGGGGGAAAGAUUUAUCGGCGAAGGAUCGGCCCGCGUUGGAUUAGGUAGUUGGUGGGGUAAUGGCCUACCAAGCCGACGAUCCAUAGCUGGUUUGAGAGGAUGAUCAGCCAUACUGGGACUGAGACACGGCCCAGACUCCUACGGGAGGCAGCAGUGGGGAAUCUUAGACAAUGGGGGAAACCCUGAUCUAGCCAUGCCGCGUGAGCGAUGAAGGCCUUAGGGUUGUAAAGCUCUUUCAGCUGGGAAGAUAAUGACGGUACCAGCAGAAGAAGCCCCGGCUAACUCCGUG
rnacentral:rRNA from 1 species